GAGGGAGGCCAGAAGUCCAACUGUUAAAAAACUUUUACCCUUUACCUGGCAUGUCAGGCUUUUGGAUUCCUUUCCCCUGAGCUCAAUUUUAAGCCCAGCAGUUUAAGGAAUCCCAGUGAUUCAAGAUGCAUUGGAGAGAAAUACAGACUGAAGAUAAUUGGUUACCCAUCUAGAAAGAGAUAUAUGAAGUCUGGGGGUAAGACCUGCAGUAAUUUCCCUUAAGAUAAGGCAGAAGGAUCCAGCUGAGAACCCUACUCCAAUGGCUGUUCUUCCCCUCUCCCAGUCCUGUUCCUUGAAGGGAUCCUUUCUCAACCCUCUCUCUCAUUAUUUUU
rnacentral:lncRNA from 10 species